CCAGCGUAGUCUCACAGGCACGCUAUCACACACACCGGUCAUCACUCUGUGAUGUCACACAUCUGUGAUUACUUCUCUCUGCUGGUGUUAAUAACUUUGUUUUUAGUUUGACGUCUCCUAGCAGUAAAGAGAGCGACGCUGACGAGACUCCUGGGUUUCAUCUUUGCCUCAUGGAUGAGUUUGUGGGGGAAGGGACUAAGACACAAGAUGAGGAGGCAAGGAAACAGACUGAGGAUGCAGAAGGAUGUAGAAGAGGCAUCCGAUGGAAGACAAAACACUGCUCAGUAGACCAUUUAACACUUUAUUACUGUCGUGGUCUCUGUGCCUCCCCGGCCAGCCCAGUGUGGCCACAACUGUUUGUUGUUUUGCUCUCCUCGCCUUGCUCUCUCUCCUGUGUGUCUGCCUGGGCGGAGCUCAGAUCGGGCUCCGCCCUUGGCCUACGCACCUGCAGCUGAUCACCGGUGAUUUGCAGUUUGAUCUCUGGCUCUUCUUAAGGUAGGGGCUCUGAGCUACUCGUCGCUGGAAUAUUGAGUAACUCUCGUUUAUCUGGAUCUGCCCUCAUUGUGACCCCUGGACCCCGUGUCCGAGUUUUCUCAGUCUGUGCCUGAGUCCGUUCCACCGCCGUGACAAUUACUUCUAAGGGAGAUGUGUCCUCCAUGACACGUUGCUGUGGAUCUCAAAAUGGUCAGAGGCCACAGCUGUCAUUGGUUAAACAAAAUACACAUUAGAAGAAACGACUGACAAGUUUCCAUUUCUGUGCCAGCAUUUGUACGUCGUACUUUGGGCCUUUGGGUAUCUGUGCAGCUCAGAUCUGGACCAGAAGAGUUUGCUGAGACUAUGGUGGAGAUUUUCAGUCCAUCUCAAAGAAUAUUUGGGACAAUUUUGGAAGUCUAUAAUUAAUACAAUGAGGAUGGAGAGCUGCUGGACUCAUAGUGAGACAGUAGACUCGAUACGUAUCAUCUCCUGAGUUCUACCUUUGCUGGGUUACUGUAGAACAGGGGUGUCAAUCAUGAGGACCGGGGGCGAGAAUGAGCCCAGCAGAGACUCAAAUAAGAGGUAAGGCUUACAUUUUGGACUUUUAACUGCAUUUCUACAGCUUUUACCACUUUUCCUAUUGAUGAAGAGGUCUCCCAUGGCCAUUUAUACCACACUAAAGUCACUGAGUAAUAGAAAAACACAAUUACUGUAAUUACAUUAUAGAAUAGCUCCGUUUCCUGUUGUAUUUAUCAAUGAAUCCACAGUCAAAAAAUUUAAAAAGGACAUUUUCAAAUGUUACUUUAUAAUUUAUAAUUACAGGACAGUUGGUGAAUCACCAGAACUUUACUAUAAUUAUAUUUCUAUCUAUUUAGCCCAAACAGCUGACAGAUGUUCUUCAGUUACUGCAGCAGCUUUUCUUUAAGCCCUUUAUAAACUGCAGUUAUCUGAGGGAUUCAGUGUGUAGUUAUACUAUUCUGACAGUAGGGGGAGUUUCACUGGUCACCUAAGAUCAAAGCGGGCAGUGUGUAGCACAUAAACUCAGACUCUUCUGCUGUAGAGAGCGUGCUCAUGUUCUGCCUCAUGUCAAACAUGUCGAGCAUGAGGCCAGUCUGAGGAUGUGGGGGACGUUGCUCAGCUAGAUGUCCAGUCACAUGAGUUGGGGUGUCCUGUUGUGGGAGCUUUGGGAGUGUGGGGUAACAGGUCAGUCUGUUCCACGCUGCUGUGAGAGCUUUUCAUUGACAACACUCAUAAUUUUUAGUCUUUGUCCGUAUGAACACCCAGAAACUCUGUCCAUAAGAGUUAUAUCUCUAUUUUUACAGAUGAUGUGGUCCCUGUAAGCCUGAUUAAGCAGUGGCCUCUACCUUCAGAUCAGGAUUCAGCACUUGUGUGUUUUUUGUUAACUACGUCCUGUCCAACAGCUUUACAAAGAGAAAUGAUCUGAUGCUCUGUAGUCCCAAACAAAUUUGCAUUGACACCAUCCAGGCUGCUCUUGUUAGCCACUUUCUCUGUUCUUGUAUUGUUUUUACAUAUGUAUGGUGUGACCAUGCCAAACCUUUUUUUAAAAAGCUUUGGUUUAUUGCUCUGCUCUUCCCUUUGUGUGACUCUUCUCACCUCGGACCAAAUAUCUGCUCAUUCCCUUUCACUCUGUUUCUGCUAUUAAAGCUCUUUAAAGCUGGCACUCCUCAGCUCAACUUUUCCCUCUCUCUCUCUCUCUCUCUCUCUCUCUCUCUCUCUCUCUCUCUCUCUCAUAUAUUGCCUCACACUCUCUCCUGCUGGGAUAUGGUUGCCAUGACAACACAGGCCUGCUCUGCUGGAUGGUACUUAGACUAAAAGGCUAUAUAAGUACGUUUGUGACCAUUUCUGUGUCAGUACGUUCAGAAUCACAUGCAUGCCUGUGUUACUGAAUGUGAUAAUAAGUUUGUGUAAUAGUACUUUGUUCUGUUUACCAGCUUGUGGAGUGACGUGGUCUAGAAGACCACGCUCUCUUAGUCUCAUCUUUCAUUUUCAUCCUCUACCUCCUUCCCUCCUUAGCUCUACUUCCAUUCAUCUGUGUGGCACACUAGCGUUAGCAGCAGCUUGGCAAAUAGCUGAUGUGUCCCUACACCAUGCUGAGAGGCCUUUUUCCCCCACGAUGACAGCAAGAGAGCAAUAUGCUGCAUAUGCCACACUUAGUUUCAGUUUGUUCAGUUUAAAUUGAUGGAAAAAUAUAGAUUUCUACGAUCAAAUAUAGUAACAAUUAGAGUUGCAUGUCUCGAGACCACUUUUACGUGGUCUUGGUCUCAACUGACUUUGGUCUCGGUCUUGCUCUCUCAAAUCGACAUAGUGUUUGGGAGAUUUGGAGUCAACCAUCAGCGGAGCGGGGGGGUGGCUUACUGGGCUUAAGCCCGGGUCAUUUUUUUCAGAAGCAUGGGGUCUUUUGGAGUGUAAUUUGUUAGUUAGCCUGACUGACAACUGUAUAAAACAAAAGCAACACACGAAGCACAGAGCGCACCGUCGUAAAUUUCCCCUAAUUUUGGUAUGAUCCGAGCUCAGGCACUGGGCGACUGAGCGCAGCACACAUGUGAGCGAGGGGGGAGAAGCUGCUGCCUGCGAGUUUGCUGCAGACAGAGGAGAGCUUAAGUUUGACCAGGUACCAAAACAAAU